ensembl:lncRNA
UUUGACUGUAAACGGUUUUUGAUCAAGCUAGGCUAGACUGACGAUAGAUCAAUAUAUAUCUGAAAGUAUUUGGGGGUUUUUUCAUCCCAGCGUCUCUUUUGCUCCCGAAGACCCCAUUUGCACAGCAGGUGAAAUCAUGGAUGGUUUGCUUAAGGAAAUAAGAAGCAAGGACCAAGCAGCCGCCUCUGUACUGGAACAGGCGGAUUUACGCAGUGACUCAGAUCUCCAGUCACUGACUUUACAAGACCUGGGUUUGCUGUUCCCUGGAGUUAAAAAUGUCAAACUGAGAAGGGAUAUCUUUGAUAUAAUACACAAGCAGAAAUCAAUUGGUGAGCUCAUAGAAAAAUCCAAGCACUUCAUCCCACAUGACUCUCUCAGGGCUGCCUUAACUGAAAAUGGAGUUUUGGUCGACUACCUGAAAAUGUUGAAGGAAAUGAAGACCCAAAUGAAUAAAGAUUUCCUUGAUCCGCAUAUCAAUCUACUGGAGGACUUCAGGAAAUCUCAACCAUCGCAGGACCAGGACAAAGUCAAUAAUGGGCCCUUGCUGCUCCAACAUGACUGCACACCAAUGCACCAAGCAAAGUCCAUAAAGUCAUCAAUUAGCCACUUUGGUGUGGAAGAACUUGACUGGUCUGCGCAGAGUUCUGACCUCAACCCGACACAACAACUUUGGGAUUAAUUAGAGUGGAGAC